UACGUAGGUGGCAAGCGUUGUCCGGAUUUACUGGGCGUAAAGAGCGUGUAGGCGGCUAAACAGGUCCGUUGUGAAAACUGGAGGCUCAACCUCCAGACGUCGACGGAAACCGUAUGGCUAGAGUCCGGAAGAGGAGAGUGGAAUUCCUGGUGUAGCGGUGAAAUGCGCAGAUAUCAGGAAGAACACCAAUGGCGAAGGCAGCUCUCUGGGACGGUACUGACGCUGAGACGCGAAAGCGUGGGGAGCGAACAGG
rnacentral:rRNA from 1 species